GUGCUCACUUUGGCACCACAUAUACUAAAAUGGGAAAAAUGCAGAAAAUAUCAGUAUGGCUCCUGUGCAAGUAUGACAUGCACAUUUGUGAAGUGUUAUAUAUGUAA
ensembl:snRNA U6 U6 spliceosomal RNA